CCAAACAAUACAAAUAAAAAUCUAAAAUUGUGACAUAAGAAGUCUUUAAGUCAUCUUUUAGACGCAUAAAACGUCUUAUGACUCGAUUUCAAACACUUUUUGU